UACGUAGGGCGCAAGCGUUGUCCGGAAUUAUUGGGCGUAAAGAGCUCGUAGGCGGCCAGUUGCGUCUGCUGUGAAAUCCCAGGGCUCAACCCCGGGCGUGCAGUGGAUACGGGCUGGCUAGAGGCAGGCAGGGGAGAACGGAAUUCCCGGUGUAGCGGUGAAAUGCGCAGAUAUCGGGAGGAACACCGGUGGCGAAGGCGGUUCUCUGGGCCUGUACUGACGCUGAGGAGCGAAAGCAUGGGGAGCGAACAGG
rnacentral:rRNA from 1 species